rnacentral:rRNA from 1 species
AACGGAAGCAGAGGAAAGUGGCGGACGGGUGAGUAACGCGUGAGGAACCUGCCUUUCAGAGGGGGACAACAGUUGGAAACGACUGCUAAUACCGCAUGGCACAUAGAUGUCGCAUGGCAUUUAUGUCAAAGAUUUAUCGCUGAAAGAUGGCCUCGCGUCUGAUUAGCUAGUUGAUGAGGUAACGGCCCACCAAGGCGACGAUCAGUAGCCGGACUGAGAGGUUGACCGGCCACACUGGUACUGAGACACGGACCAGACUCC